GGCGCCAGCUGCAGUUUGAGAUAGCAGACUGGGGAGACAGCAAUACUAAUGUGUUGAAAAUGGAUGAGGGGAAAACUGUCCCGGAUUUUCAGGUGGUUCAUACAAAUGAGGGUAAGGAGGACAUCUUGUACAGCAGCAGUGACCAAAAUGAGGGUGAAAGCGGUCUACCAUAGAGUGGAAUAGCUAUAUAAUUCCUGACCUCAUACCAACACUAUGUAGAGGAGAAAGUAGGACAACUUUAGAAGUUUAUGAGAUGACAUGAAAAUGAGACAUGAAAACAACCCAGCUUCCUGAGGCCUCACUGGAAGCUGAGCAGAUGCUGGUGCCAUGCUUGUACAGUCUGCAGAACCAUGAGCCAACUACCCAGUCUCAGGUCCAGCACUGCUUCAAACUGGAUAAAUAAGCUACAAUUUCAGGCAAUCACGUGAGUAGAGGAACAUUGAGCUCUUCAUUUCUUUAGAGCAUAAAUAGGCAUCAAAAGAGGUCUUUUUUAGAAUCGCUUGAGUUGUUGAUACUCUAAGGACAAAGUGUUGCCCACUAGAAGGAAGGACCAUGGGGAAAAGCAGACCUAAUUAUAUCAGACAUCUCCAACCUUGGCAGCCCCCAUGGCAUAAGUACUUCACUCUCAUAACCCGCAUAAGUACAGUUGUUCUCUGUAGUAAAUAUGUGAUGUAAAUUUGUGGAAAUAGGAAAGGAUGGGAGAAAGAAAGGAUUCAAAAAGGAAGAGGGAAGGGGAGAAAAAUAAAAAGAAAGUAUCAUUUAACGAGAACUUUUGAGUGUUCGUGGGUGGGCAGAGAGGAAGACCUGAGAAUUAAUGGAGAGAAAAAAGAUGUGGCUAGAGAUGUAGGAGGUGAGAGGAUUCUAGAAUGAAGAUUAAUGUGAUAAAGAGGACAUUACAUAAUACGUUGGUGGGUUAUAAAUUAGUCCUCUUUGUCAUUCUUUUUAAAAAAUAAGUAAAUAAUGCAAUUAUUUUUAUGACUAUUGCUUGCCUGAUAGUACUUCUUUGUAUCCCACAAGGCCUUGACUUUUAUGGGAUGACAUCACCUGUUGCUUUCUGAGUUUUCAUCAAUUUCUAGAGCUGCAUUUUCCUCCACAAAGCCUCUUGUUCUUAGUAAUGGCUACUCACUGUACCUCUGGCCCUGCCUAUAACUCUGUUGGCUCAUGCUGCCAGAUACCUCUCUGUUGAUGUGGAGAACUGAGGAGUAACAACAUGAUAGUACAGCUUAAAAUAAAUACUAUCACAGAGAAAAAUAAAAUAAAAUAUAAGGAUCUGGGGAGAAAAUACAUUUGUAGAAACAAAGAAAAUGAGAAGACUAUGAAGUGUUGCUACAAUUAAAAUGUUGAUUCUAAAUCUGUU